rnacentral:misc_RNA from 1 species
AUAAUGCUCCAUCUCAGGCUCAAUGCCAUAAUUGUCAGUCAUCAACUUAAAAUAACGCUUGCCCUCCUUGACCAAACCUGCUCGACUACAAGCAUUUAAAACACCAAUGAAGGUAACAUUCACGGGACGUAUUCCUUCAUUUAGGAACCUCUCAAAGAGUGCAAUAGCUUCUUUUCCACGACCGUGUGAGGCCAUACCACAAAUCAUGACAUUCCAUGUGGAAAUAUCUCUUUGGGGCAUUUUGUCAAAUAGAAGCCUAGACUGUUCAAUGCACCCACAUUUUGCAUACAUGUCAAGAAGGGCUGUCCCAAGAGUAACUGUCAGUGGAAUAUUCAAUGAAUCUAUAAUUGAAUGAACCAACCGACCGUGUUCAAUUAAACCCAAUUGCGCUGAAGCCGAGAGUACCGUCACCAAUGUGGCUUCAUUUGGAAUUAACCCAAUCCCUCUCAUCCUUCUGAAGCACUCUAAACCUUCUUCAAGCUUCCCAUUAUGCACAUAAGCCAUAAUCAUAGUAUUCCACGAGAUGACAUCUCUUUCGGGCAUUUCAUCAAACAUACUCUCCACGACAUCAACUCUUCCAUCUCUUGCAAACCCCGCCAACAUAGCAUUCCAAGUAAUAACAUCACGGUUAUAUGGACUCUCAUCAAACACCUUUUUUGAACUCUCAACCUUACAACAAGAAGAAUACAAAUGAAUCAAAGCAUUCCUCACGUAUACAUCCUCACCAAAUCCAAGCUUCACCACAUGACCAUGAAGCUGAACCCCUUCAUUGAAACCUAUUCCCUUUCCACAAGCUUGCAAAAGAAAAGUGAAACUAUAAUUAUUGGGUCUUACACAAUUUCUCAACAUCGAUGAGUAAAAAAGAACAGAUUUCAGAGGAGAUUCGCUCUUUGCAAAGCACCUGAUCAUGUUAUUGGAGGCGAAAACAUUUGGGUUUGUGAUUGUUUGAUAAAUUGACUGAGAAUAAUCAAAUGGGGUUGAUGGAGACAGAGCGAGGAUGGUGAGGAGAUGACCCAUGAGAGACGCAUUCCCGGCGAGGCCAGAGAUGAUGAUGUGGGCAUGGGCUUGCUUGGUCUGGAAGAGUGAAGGAUUAGCCCGCAAAGAAGAGAAAAAUGGGUGAAAUAUAGCGGUGGAGAAUUGAGAAUAGGAAGCUUUGGUUGUGAAGGAGAGAAGAGGUACUGGUUUAUUAGCAAACAUAGGAGAAAACAGACGGAAAU